AUUGAACGCUGGCGGCAUGCCUUACACAUGCAAGUCGAACGGCAGCACGGGUGCUUGCACCUGGUGGCGAGUGGCGAACGGGUGAGUAAUACAUCGGAACAUGUCCUGUAGUGGGGGAUAGCCCGGCGAAAGCCGGAUUAAUACCGCAUACGAUCCAUGGAUGAAAGCGGGGGACCUUCGGGCCUCGCGCUAUAGGGUUGGCCGAUGGCUGAUUAGCUAGUUGGUGGGGUAAAGGCCUACCAAGGCGACGAUCAGUAGCUGGUCUGAGAGGACGACCAGCCACACUGGGACUGAGACACGGCCCAGACUCCUACGGGAGGCAGCAGUGGGGAAUUUUGGACAAUGGGCGAAAGCCUGAUCCAGCAAUGCCGCGUGUGUGAAGAAGGCCUUCGGGUUGUAAAGCACUUUUGUCCGGAAAGAA
rnacentral:rRNA from 1 species